GACGAACGCUGGCGGCGUGCUUAACACAUGCCAGUCGUACGGUAAGGCCCUUUCGGGGGUACACGAGUGGCGAACGGGUGAGUAACACGUGAGUAACCUGCCCACAACUUUUGGAUAACGCUAGGAAACUGGUGCUCAUACUGGAUAUGUGCUCCUGCUGCAUGGUGGGGGUUGGAAAGCUCCGGGGGUUGUGGAUGUACUCGCGGCCUAUCAGCUUGUUGGUGGGGUAGUGGCCUACCAAGGCGGCGACGGGUAGCCGGCCUGAGAGGGUGACCGGCCACAUUGGGACUGAGAUACGGCCCAGACUCCUACGGGAGGCAGCAGUGGGGAAUAUUGCACAAUGGGCGCAAGCCUGAUGCAGCAACGCCGCGUGCGGGAUGACGGCCUUCGGGUUGUAAACCGCUUUCAGCAGGGACGAAGCUUUUUGUGACGGUACCUGCAGAAGAAGCACCGGCUAACUACGUG
rnacentral:rRNA from 1 species